UACGGAGGGUGCAAGCGUUAUCCGGAUUCACUGGGUUUAAAGGGUGCGUAGGCGGAUUGGUAAGUCCGUGGUGAAAUCUCCAAGCUUAACUUUGAAACUGCCAUGGAUACUAUUAGUCUUGAAUAUUGUGGAGGUUAGCGGAAUAUGUCAUGUAGCGGUGAAAUGCAUAGAUAUGACAUAGAACACCAAUUGCGAAGGCAGCUGGCUACACAAAUAUUGACGCUGAUGCACGAAAGCGUGGGGAUCAAACAGG
rnacentral:rRNA from 1 species